rnacentral:lncRNA from 1 species
AUCACUUUCAUUUUUUCAAAAUACCAAAACUACCCUUGACAUUUUGUCCCAAAAUCAAAGAACCCUAGCUUCUCUGAAGUCAGUGGUGUUUCUCCUCCGCCGUCCAUCUGCGUCGUCAUCGUUGUCCUUGGCGGCGUAAGCGUCCGUCGUGGUCCGUCGUCCUUGGUCUGUGCUGCACUAUUCUGCGCUGUCCGUGCAUCUGCUGUGCUCUGCUCCGCGUUGUUUGUCCGUGGCUUCCGUUGCGCUCUCUCGCCGUGCCUCACCGGGCGACGUCACCGCGCCACGCCUCGCCUAGUGUUUGUUCCAAGAUCUCUAGGCAGGCCCGUUCAGUUUUUGGUUUUGCUGUUUUUGCUUUGAUUGAACUUCUGAACUUCUAAAUUAUAUUUGGAUGUUAUGGGCAUGCUUUUUAGUAAAAAAGGGUUCAUGUCAAUCUUUCAAAACGCUUCUGUAGGCAUUAGUUUUAGACGCAGUUGAUGGUUUGGAUUUAAAAUUUUAGGUUCAAAUUCAGAUUAUUUGUUGAUGUCAUACCUUUAAAUUAUUAUUCUUCUUUUUUAUCUAUGUAUCAAUGCAUGAUUCAUGUGUUUCUAUUUAUUUAUUUUUACCAAGAAAAUUUGCAG